rnacentral:pre_miRNA from 12 species
GAACGGCACCACAGGAUUUUCUUGGCUAUAAUGUUUACAAAGGCUGGGCAACCUGCUUUUGUAAACAUUAUAGCCAAGAAAAUCCUGUGGUGCGGUUCU